UGUAAGCGUAUACCAAAGUUGUUGCAGUUAAAACGCUCGUAGUCGGAAUUUGGCAGUUCCGGAUGUGUGCACGUCGUGUGCGCACUUCGCGGGGAUUGCUUUUGUGGUCUUGCGUAGGAUGAGGCACUUUUAUUAGUGAACGUCCUCACGCAACCACUUUUUACUGUGAGAAAAUCAGAGUGCUCAAAGCAGGCAUUUGCCGUGAAUGUAUUAGCAUGGAGUAAUAGAAUAGGACUUGGUUCUAUUUUGUUGGUUUGUUGGGACUGAGUAAUGAUUAAGAGGGACAGUUGGGGGCAUUUGUAUUUCGGCGCUAGAGGUGAAAUUCUUAGAUUGCCGAAAGACAAACUGCUGCGAAAGCGUCUGCCAAGGAUGUUUUCAUUGA
rnacentral:rRNA from 1 species